ACCUUUGAUGGGAGACUCGCAAGCGCUAAUGAGCUUCUUUGCCGACAGGUGGAGAGAGGGCCUCGGACCCACAGUCAGAGGCACAGUCUGCAGGCUGGGGGAGCAGACGCUAUUUAUAAAGCUUCUCUCCGGGGUCGGUCACCGGCGGUCAAAGCCUGGGAGCUCCUCUGCCCGGGCCACUCCCGAUGCUCUGGGUGUACGCGGAGCCACGGUCCCCUCUCCCUUCGCCAGUGCCCUGAGGCGGAUGGAUCCGACGGGAGCGGCCACCGACCAGAACCAAGUGGAACUGCAUUAAAGCGAAGAUGCAAGAAAUGAUUGGGCUUAGCAUUCUUUCUCUGCUUGGCUGGAAGCUUCUCAAGAGCCAGGGGGGCUGCCUGAGAUCAGGGACCAUGCCAGCUGGGCAUCUGUUUGCCGCCCAGGACUUACUCUCCUCUGAGAAACAGCUCAUCAAACAUCCUCUGGGAACCUCCUUCUGCAUCAGCCUGGUGCCUCGUGUGGAAUUGACACCUAUGCCCGGCUCCAGUUGUGGAGCUUAAGUUAACCAGCAUCCCUCACCUCCAUUCUCCCUGUCACAGUGAUUGGCUCAGGGCUGACAUGUGACUUAGGUGGGUCCCAUCAGACGGAACCUCAAGGCUUCCCCUGGAAAUGAUGAGCCCUGUCCUUUUUCCCCUGCUGCACAUGUAGACUCCUAGGAUACUGGAAGCCACCCAGGACAGAUGCGGGUGAGGAUUAGAUGCUGGCGAGUCUGGCCAGCAAUGGAGCCAAGCAGAGCUAGGACAUGGAGAGAAAGAAACAAAGUCCUGGCCACAUGAUUUGAGCCCCUGGAUCAAGCAUUGCCUGAAACUAGAGCUCCCUUUAGACGUGUCAGUUACUUGGACGAAUAAAUCCCCUUUAUAUUUAAA